rnacentral:rRNA from 1 species
UACGUAGGGUGCGAGCGUUAAUCGGAAUUACUGGGCGUAAAGCGUGCGCAGGCGGGCUUUUAAGCCAGACGUGAAAUCCCCGGGCUUAACCUGGGAAUGGCGUUUGGGACUGGGAGUCUGGAGUGCGGCAGAGGAGACUGGAAUUCCUGGUGUAGCAGUGAAAUGCGUAGAUAUCAGGAGGAACACCGGUGGCGAAGGCGGGUCUCUGGGCAAUUCCUGACGCUGAGGCGCGAAAGCGUGGGGAGCAAACGGG